rnacentral:rRNA from 1 species
GACGAACGCUGGCGGCGUGCUUAACACAUGCAAGUCGAACGGAAAGGCCCUGCUUUUGUGGGGUGCUCGAGUGGCGAACGGGUGAGUAACACGUGAGUAACCUGCCCUUGACUUUGGGAUAACUUCAGGAAACUGGGGCUAAUACCGGAUAGGAGCUCCUGCUGCAUGGUGGGGAUUGGAAAGUUUCGGCGGUUGGGGAUGGACUCGCGGCUUAUCAGCUUGUUGGUGGGGUAGUGGCUUACCAAGGCUUUGACGGGUAGCCGGCCUGAGAGGGUGACCGGCCACAUUGGGACUGAGAUACGGCCCAGACUCCUACGGGAGGCAGCAGUGGGGAAUAUUGCACAAUGGGCGGAAGCCUGAUGCAGCAACGCCGCGUGCGGGAUGACGGCCUUCGGGUUGUAACCCGCUUUCGCCUGUGACGAAGCGUGAGUGACGGUAAUGGGUAAAGAAGCACCGGCUAACUACGUG